AACGAACGCUGGCGGCGCGCCUAAUACAUGCAAGUCGAGCGAGAAGACGUAGCAAUACGUUUGUAAAGCGGCGAACGGGUGAGGAAUACAUGGGUAACCUACCCUCGAGUGGGGAAUAACUAGCCGAAAGGUUAGCUAAUACCGCAUACGACUCUUGGUCUGCGGAUCAAGAGAGAAAGCGAUACCGUGGGUAUCGCGCUCUUGGAUGGACCCGCGGCGCAUUAGCUUGUUGGUGAGGUAACGGCUCACCAAGGCUUCGAUGCGUAGCCGACCCGAGAGGUUGAUCGGCCACAUUGGGACUGAGACACGGCCCAGACUCCUACGGGAGGCAGCAGUGGGGAAUAUUGCGCAAUGGGGGAAACCCUGACGCAGCAACGCCGCGUGAAGGAUGAAGGUUUUCGGAUCGUAAACUUCUUUGAUGAGGGACGAAGAAUGACGGUACCUCAAAAACAAGCCACGGCUAACUACGUGCCAGCCGCCGCGGUAA
rnacentral:rRNA from 1 species